rnacentral:rRNA from 1 species
UACGGGGGGAGCAAGCGUUGUUCGGAUUUACUGGGCGUAAAGGGCGCGUAGGCGGCCACCGCAAGUCAAUUGUGAAAUCUCCGGGCUUAACUCGGAAAGGUCAACUGAUACUGCGGGGCUAGAGUGCGGAAGGGUCAACUGGAAUUCUCGGUGUAGCGGUGAAAUGCGUAGAUAUCGAGAGGAACACCUGCGGCGAAGGCGGGUUGCUGGGCCGACACUGACGCUGAUGCGCGAAAGCCAGGGGAGCGAACGGG